ncrna:Peptostreptococcus anaerobius CAG:621 RAGATH-18 RNA
UCUAUGGAGAGUACAAGAACUUGUGAGUAGUAUCUGGAUUUGUUCAGUAUGAAAGCAUGCUCGAUGAAGUAGGAA